GCGUCGGUAGCUCAGCGGUAGUAGCAACAGACUUUUAAUCUGUAGGUCGCGGGUUCAAUCCCCGCCCGACGCA
rnacentral:tRNA from 1 species